rnacentral:rRNA from 1 species
UGCGAAGGGUGCAAGCGUUAAUCGGAAUUACUGGGCGUAACGCGCGCGUAGGUGGUUCAGUAAGUUGAAUGUGCAAUCCCCGGGCUCAACCUGGGAACUGCAUACAAAACUGCUGAGCUAGAGUACGGUAGAGGGUAGUGGAAUUUCCUGUGUAGCGGUGAAAUGCGUAGAUAUAGGAAGGAACACCAGUGGCGAAGGCGACUACCUGGACCGGUACUGACACUGAGGUGCGAAAGCGUGGGGAGCAAACAGG